rnacentral:rRNA from 1 species
UCCUACGGGGGAGGCAGCAGUAGGGAAUCUUCCACAAUGGACGAAAGUCUGAUGGAGCAACGCCGCGUGAGUGAAGAAGGGUUUCGGCUCGUAAAACUCUGUUGUUAAAGAAGAACAUAUCUGAGAGUAACUGUUCAGGUAUUGACGGUAUUUAACCAGAAAGCCACGGCUAACUACGUGCCAGCAGCCGCGGUAAUACGUAGGUGGCAAGCGUUGUCCGGAUUUAUUGGGCGUAAAGCGAGCGCAGGCGGUUUUUUAAGUCUGAUGUGAAAGCCUUCGGCUCAACCGAAGAAGUGCAUCGGAAACUGGGAAACUUGAGUGCAGAAGAGGACAGUGGAACUCCAUGUGUAGCGGUGAAAUGCGUAGAUAUAUGGAAGAACACCAGUGGCGAAGGCGGCUGUCUGGUCUGUAACUGACGCUGAGGCUCGAAAGUAUGGGUAGCAAACAGGAUUAGAUACCCUGGUAGUCCAUACCGUAAACGAUGAAUGCUAAGUGUUGGAGGGUUUCCGCCCUUCAGUGCUGCAGCUAACGCAUUAAGCAUCCGC